ACAAACCGGGAGGAAGGUGGGGAUGACGUCAAGUCAUCCAUGGCCCUUACGGCCUGGGCUACACACGUGCUACAAUGGUCGGGUACAAAGGGUUGCCAAGCCGCGAGGUGGAGCUAAUCCCAUAAAACCGAUCGUAGUCCGGAUCGCAGUCUGCAACUCGACUGCGUGAAGUCGGAAUCGCUAGUAAUCGUGAAUCAGAAUGUCACGGUGAAUACGUUCCCGGGCCUU
rnacentral:rRNA from 1 species